GAAGAUAUAGCUCAAGAAGUAGAGUGCAUGCUUAAAAUGUACGAGGUCCUGAGUUCAAUUCCCAGUACCCCCU
rnacentral:tRNA from 1 species